rnacentral:rRNA from 1 species
UAGGGAAUCUUCGGCAAUGGACGAAAGUCUGACCGAGCAACGCCGCGUGAGUGAAGAAGGUUUUCGGAUCGUAAAACUCUGUUGUUAGAGAAGAACAAGGACGUUAGUAACUGAACGUCCCCUGACGGUAUCUAACCAGAAAGCCACGGCUAACUACGUGCCAGCAGCCGCGGUAAUACGUAGGUGGCAAGCGUUGUCCGGAUUUAUUGGGCGUAAAGCGAGCGCAGGCGGUUUCUUAAGUCUGAUGUGAAAGCCCCCGGCUCAACCGGGGAGGGUCAUUGGAAACUGGGAGACUUGAGUGCAGAAGAGGAGAGUGGAAUUCCAUUUGUAGCGGUGAAAUGCGUAGAUAUAUGGAGGAACACCAGUAGCGAAGGCGGCUCUCUGGUCUGUAACUGACGCUGAGGCUCGAAAGCGUGGGGAGCAAACAGG